UACGACUACAUAUCAGGCAUAUCAAUAAGCGGAGGAAAAGAAACUAACAAGGAUUCCCUUAGUAACGGCGAGUGAAGCGGGAAGAGCUCAAAUUUGAAAUCUUCAAGGUUUUACCUUGACGAAUUGUAGUUUAAAGAAGUGUUUUCUGUUGAAGUUUUGGUAAAAGUUCUUUGGAAUAGGACAUCAUAGAGGGUGAGAAUCCCGUAUUUGACCAUUAUUUUCAGCUGUGUGAUACACUUUCAAAGAGUCGGAUUGUUUGGGAAUGCAGUCCAAAAUGGGUGGUAAAUUUCAUCUAAAGCUAAAUAUUGGCGAGAGACCGAUAGCGAACAAGUACCGUGAGGGAAAGAUGAAAAGAACUUUGAAAAGAGAUGUUAAACAGUACGUGAAAUUGUCAAAAGGGAAGCGUUUGACACCAGUGUUGUUUUCUCGAAAAUCAAUUAAAAAAAGUUGGAUUUUGUGUUGUAUUGACCUUAACAGCUUGCUUCACUCUUUUCCAGCUUUUUUUAAUGCACUUUUCGUUUAACAAGUCAACAUCAGUUUCUUUUGUUGUAAAAGGGUCAUUGGAAGGUGGCUUUCUCUUCGGAGAAAGUGUUUAUAGCCUUUGAUCUCUGCAAUCGGAGAGACUGAGGUCUGCAGCGUAGAUCCUUCGGGGUUAGAUACAUUUGUGCUAAGCUACAGCUUUUCAUAGACAACUUGUUGACUAUGUUUAGUCUUGUAACUUACCCGCUUAUGCUAUUUUACCUACGCUUAGGAUGUUGAGCGCAUGUCUCUCUCU
rnacentral:rRNA from 1 species